rnacentral:rRNA from 1 species
UACGUAGGGAGCAAGCGUUGUCCGGAAUCAUUGGGCGUAAAGCGCGCGUGGGUGGCUUCAUAAGUCCGUUGUGAAAGUCAAAGGCUCAACCUUUGAAAGCCGAUGGAUACUGUGAAGCUAGAGUACGGAAGAGGCGAGUGGAAUUCCUGGUGUAGCGGUGGAAUGCGCAGAUAUCAGGAGGAACACCAAUAGCGAAGGCAGCUCGCUGGGACGUUACUGACACUGAGGCGCGAAAGCGUGGGGAGCGAACAGG